rnacentral:rRNA from 1 species
AUGGACAUGGCACCGCCUGCAUCCGCCGUCUCCUUCUCCCCCCGCCCAUCGACGGGAACGACUUUCCGGCCCCGCGCCGCUUCCGCCUCUGGCUCCGUGGGCGCCGGGCGGGUCCGCGCGGCGGUAGCCCCCGAGGGAGGCAAGUGGUGGGCGCCACUGCUCGGCUGGUCUGGGCGGGCGGACUACAUCGAGGCCGCGGCACCGGCGCCGGCGAUGGCGAUGGCGAUGGCGGCGGAGGAGGAGGAGAAGGCGGGGAGGUCGUUCGUGGGCGGCCUGACGGAGGAGAAGGCGCGGCAGCUGCGGGCGCGGAUGGUGGAGACGGAGAGCUUCCACGAUGCCAUGUACCACUCCGCCAUCGCCUCCCGCCUCGCGCGCUCCACCUAG